rnacentral:misc_RNA from 1 species
GUUGCAUCAUUAAGUUAAUAAUUAAUAUUGUAUCUAGAUGACAUUAUCAAACCAAAUGAAAACUCGAGAAUAGAAUGAGGGAGAUUAAGAGGACAAAAUUCCAAGCAGAAGAAUAUUGCAGAGAGUUCUCCACUCAACUAAUGCUAUCUCAUUGAAUAUCUUCAAGUGUUUACCGGCCAAAUUAUACAAUGAACGCAGAGAAAAGGCAAAAAGAAUAUCCUAAGGAAUUAAAAUGGACAUGAGUCAACACCAACGCAAGUAAGCCAGUGCAAGUUGUAGUUUCCAUCCACAUGUAAGCAGCAGCAGCUGCUCUGUGAUGAAACAAUGAUCUACUGAGGUGGUUGGGAAUGAGGCGGAGGACAUGGUGGUAGUGGUGGAGGCAUACCAGAU